rnacentral:rRNA from 1 species
AGCGAACGCUGGCGGCAGGCCUAACACAUGCAAGUCGAACGAACUCUUCGGAGUUAGUGGCGGACGGGUGAGUAACACGUGGGAACGUGCCUUUAGGUUCGGAAUAACUCAGGGAAACUUGUGCUAAUACCGAAUGUGCCCUUCGGGGGAAGGAUUUAUCGCCUUUAGAGCGGCCCGCGUCUGAUUAGCUAGUUGGUGAGGUAAAGGCUCACCAAGGCGACGAUCAGUAGCUGGUCUGAGAGGAUGAUCAGCCACAUUGGGACUGAGACACGGCCCAAACUCCUACGGGAGGCAGCAGUGGGGAAUCUUGCGCAAUGGGCGAAAGCCUGACGCAGCCAUACCGCGUGAAUGAUGAAGGUCUUAGGAUUGUAAAAUUCUUUCACCGGGGACGAUAAUGACGGUACCCGGAGAAGAAGCCCCGGCUAACUUCGUGCCAGCAGCCGCAGUAAUAC